UGAAUACGAGAUGCUACGGCGUCGAAGCAGUCUAUGUCAUACUUCCAAGAAAAGCUUGCACUGUCAUAACAAAUAAUGCCUGUACCAUAACCGACACAGGUGGGUAGGUAGAGUAUACUAAGGGGCGCGAGAUAACUCUCUCUAAGGAACUCGGCAAAAUGACUCCGUAACUUCGGGAGAAGGAGUGCCUUAUUUAUAAGGUUGCAAUAACAAGAUCCAAGCAACUGUUUACCAAAAACACAGGUCUCCGCUAAGUCGUAAGACGAUGUAUGGGGGCUGACGCCUGCCCAGUGCCAGAAGGUUAAAGAAGUUGGUUAGCAUCCGCGAAGCUGAUAACUGAAGCCCUGGUGAACGGCGGCCGUAACUAUAACGGUCCUAAGGUAGCGAAAUUCCUUGUCGGGUAAGUUCCGACCCGCACGAAAGGCGUAAUGAUUUGGAUACUGUCUCGGAGAGGGGCUCGGUGAAAUAGACUUGUCUGUGAAGAUGCGGACUACCUGCACCAGGACAGAAAGACCCUAUGAAGCUUUACUGUAACCUGAAAUUGAAAUUGGACUUUACUAGCGCAGUAUAGGUGGGAGGCGUUGAGAAUAUUCUUGCGGGAUUAUUGGAGCCAUCAGUGAGAUACCACUCUUGUAAUGUUAGAUUUCUAACUUUGUAUCAUUAUCUGGUCAAAGAACAGUUUCAGGCGGGCAGUUUGACUGGGGCGGUCGCCUCCUAAACGGUAACGGAGGCGCACAAAGGUUUCCUCUGAACGGGUAGAAAUCGUAUCUAGAGUGUAAAGGCAUAAGGAAGCUUGACUGUGAGACCUACAAGUCGAGCAGGGACGAAAGUCGGUCUUAGUGAUCUGACGGUGCUGAGUGGAAAGGCCGUCACUCAACGGAUAAAAGUUACUCUAGGAUAACAGGCUGAUCUCCCCCAAGAGUUCACAUCGACGGGGAGGUUUGGCACCUCGAUGUCGGCUCAUCGCAUCCUGGGGCGGUAGUACGUCCCAAGGGUUGGGCUGUUCGCCCAUGAAAGCGGUACGCGAGCUGGGUUCAGAACGUCGUGAGACAGUUCGGUCCAUAUCCGGUGUAGGCGUUAGAAUAUUGAGAGGAGCCUUCUUUAGUACGAGAGGACCGAGAAGGACAUACCUCUGGUGUACCAGUUAUCGUGCCAACGGUAAACGCUGGGUAGCUAUGUGUGGAGUGGAUAACCGCUGAAAGCAUCUAAGUGGGAAGCCCACCUCAAGAUAAGUAUUCU
rnacentral:rRNA from 1 species